CUAAGAAUAUUCCGCAAUGGAGGAAACUCUGACGGAGCGACGCCGCGUGGAUGAUGAAGGUCGGAAGAUUGUAAAAUCCUUUUAAGUAUGAUGAAUAACCUGAUCAGGAAAUGGGACAGGGAUGACCGUAAUACUUGAAUAAGCAACGGCUAAUUACGUGCCAGCAGCCGCGGUAACACGUAAGUUGCGAGCGUUGUUCGGAAUUAUUGGGCGUAAAGGGCAUGUAGGCGGAAUUGCAAGCUUGAUGUGAAAGGCAGGGGCUUAACUCCUGGAUUGCGUUGAGAACUGCAUAACUAGAGUAACUGAGGGGCAGCCGGAAUUCCAGGUGUAGGGGUGAAUCUGUAGAUAUCUGGAAGAACACCAAUGGCGAAGGCAGGCUACCAGCAGAUUACUGACGCUGAGGUGCGAAGGUAUGGGGAGCAAACAGGAUUAGAUA
rnacentral:rRNA from 1 species